UUUGGGCACUUCUAAGAGAGAAAUAGAUGGAGCUGAUUGGGAAGAGCCUGGGGACUGGCUCUCAUAGUAUCAGAAAGUGCUAUGCAAGCUGCCAAAAGAGAAAAAACAAUCGCUUGUCAACUGAGCCAUGGUGUCUAUAAACUAUAGGAAUCAAAGAUAUCCAUAAUGGUACAAUAGAGCGAUAACUUUUAUUCUUGGGGAUCGGGAAAAACUAUGGAAGAGGGGUGAAUGAUUGUAAGAGCCAGAGAACAAGGAUACCUAUGGCUGGAUAGCAUCUUGUAGACAUGACAGGAAGUUAAACCCAGAGAAUCCCAAGAAUCUGGUUGCCUGAGGAAGAAUUGUGCAAUGACAUCACCAAUUGACAUGAAAAUUUGGAUGAAAGAAAUAUCACAAAGUCCCAGCCCUAGAUAAAUAGCUAUAAGUAAUUGUUUGUUGCUGAGGAAGAGAAAAUUAGUUUUCUUCACAGAUGAGCAUUGAUAGGUUAUCAAGUUCCAAGUGGUCUACCCUAAACAGAUCUGUAUACAAGCAACAUAAAAUGUACUCAGUAUA